CUCUAAAAGAUGCUGCUGUUGAAUUGUAUUUAUAUUUACAUUUUAUUCACACUAACAUGUUUUUAUUGUAUGAGCUCUUCUAUUUCUCCCUUAACUAAAUAUAUAUAAACAUAUACGCUAGUGAUGGGACGAACAACACUGGUGCGUCAGCACUGUGCCGAGCACACAAGAGUGAAACCCCGUAUUGGUGCGUGUAUCGCUUUAAGAAAAAAUCAUGUGACCGAUACAGAAAGUGUGUCGAUUGGAUGUGCUGCGCCAAAUUGUGUUUAAAAGGAAACAAACUGUAUUGACAUGUAUUGUUGCUGUGUCUGUUUGACCUCACCUUGUUCAACUUCUGACUUCAUGGAUCGUUCCAAUAAGAAGAAGUUUUCCCCAGUCUGGAAUCAUUUUGAUCUUUUGACGGCAAAUAAGGUGAAGUGUCGGCUCUGCUCCACAGAGCUAUCUUACAUCAAUAAGAGCACUUCAUCAAUGCUGAGGCAUUAUAGAGCUCAGCAUGGCAAUGAAGAAUUGGCAGAUACUCGUGUGAGUACCCCAGUUCCUAACAAGCAAGCAGUGGAUGAGGCUGUGGUCAACAUGAUCAUCAAAGACUGAAAACACAUAUUUUUUGUGUUUGUAUAUUUCUGUUGCAGUUUGUCAUGUGAUAAUAAACUAACAACUAACAAAGAAUUAUUUCUAAAAUAUUUGUUAGGGCACAAUCUCUGGAAACCUCUGGAUAUGGAGGUUGAGGAGAACAACUCGACCUCGAAUACUACAGCUGGUUCCACAGUUGAAGUCCAACGCUACCUGGCUGAAACCAACACACCCAGAGCACAAGAUCCGUUACAAUAUUGGAAAAAUAACCAGAAAACAUAUCCACACCUGUAUCAACUUGCACUUAAAUUUUUAUGCACACCAUCCUCAUCUGUACCCUGUGAGAGAGUUUUUUCUAAGGCAGGGGAACUGAUGUCCAAGAAGAGAAAUCGCCUUGGAGCAAAGACACUACAAAAACUUUUGUUCCUCAAUAAAAGUGUAUGAAUGAAUCCAUUUUUAGUCUGUUAUUUCGUAUGAUUGAACACUUAAGUUAAAAAAAUUCCAUACAUAAGUUAAAAAUUGGAACUCUGAAUUUUAUUGUAGACAAAUUUGCUAUAUUUUACAUACCAACUCAUUUUAGCAUUUACACAAACAAAGCAAAUUUAAAACUCUUCUCAUAGACAACUUCAACUCAGCAAACAAAUUGAGCAAAUGAAAUUAAACAAUGAUGAGAUCAUAUUUUCAGUAAAAGACUAGCAAUUAAAUAAAGAUUAAAUAUUAUUUCACAGGCUGAUGUUGGGUUUGCAGCAUGUAAGCUUUUCCAUCUUAUUUUAUUUAUUUUUUUUACCUGCAAUGAUUUUAGAUCUACUGCAGAGGUCACUAUUGAGUGACCAACACAGUGUCAAUACAGUGCCAACACAGUUUGGGUAGUGUGUCAAUACACUCCUUGAGGCAUCA